CACAUUUUCAUCCUCGUAAAAGAAAAAAAAUGGAACUUACAGGCACAAGCUUAGCAGCGGUGUGGCUUUCUUCAAUCCAGCAUUUUCAUGUGUUAUUCUUAAUUUCUGUAACCAUGCUAUGCUUCCAACCUGCUGUUUGUAUCACUAAAUUGGGAAAUGAGACUGAUAGGCUUGCUCUUCUGGAAUUCAAAUACAAGAUAAGCAAUGAUCCGAAUGGCAUCUUCAGCUCAUGGAAUGACUCUGUCCACUUCUGCAAAUGGGAAGGAGUUACUUGUGGCCCCAAACAUCAGAGAGUUGCGUCUCUAAAUCUGCAGGGGUUGAGCUUGUCAGGGAACAUAUCUCCAUAUACAGGGAACCUCACCUUCUUGAGGUUCCUCAGCCUUGGUGACAAUAGAUUCCAUGGAGAAAUUCCUCAAGAAGUUGGUCACCUCUUCAGAUUGAGAUAUCUCAACCUGACGAAUAACCCAUUGAGGGGUGAAAUUCCAGGUAACAUCGGCAAUUGUUCAGAGCUCAGGGUUGUAAGUUUGGUUAAUAACAACCUAGAGGGAAAAAUACCUUCUGAGCUAGGCUCCUUAAGGAAGCUUGUGAUUCUUGUCUUUGAUAAAAAUAGUCUCACAGGAGAGAUCCCACAUUCCCUUGGAAAUCUUUCAUCCCUAAAAGAUUUUAGCUUAAUUUAUAAUCAUUUGCAGGGAAAGAUUCCAACUGAAUUGGGACACUUAACAAGCUUAACUUCCCUCGGGCUCGGAUCUAAUAAUCUGAGUGGUUCAAUACCUCCUACCAUUUACAAUAUCUCAACUAUCAGUUACUUUGGUAUUACAUAUAAUCAAUUAAGUGGGAGUCUCCCAGCUAACAUAGGCCUAACUCUUCCUAAGCUACAGCUCCUGUCGUUGGCUCAAAAUGGAUUUUUUGGAACGAUUCCAGAAUCAUUGGCCAAUGCUUCUCAGCUUCAGCUUAUUGACAUCUCUAACAACAGUUUCACGGGACAAGUUCCUGCCAAUCUGGGGAAUAUCAAGGGUCUUCAGCAGCUUCAUGUGGAGUUCAAUUUCUUGGGCAGCAAUACAAGUCAAGAUUUGAGUUUUGUACCAUCCCUGGCCAACUGCAGCAUUAAUCUACAACAACUAUAUUUUGAUGGAAACAAUAUUGGUGGUACAUUAUAUAGCUCCAUUGGCAAUCUCUCUACCCUUGUUCAACUAGGCCUAGGACGAAAUCCAAUAUCAGGAACAAUCCCAGAAGAGGUAGGGAAUCUUGUGAAUUUGUUUCGAUUAGAUAUGGAUGGAAACCUUUUGGCAGGUAGCAUUCCCAUUUCUCUUGGAAAGAUUCAAAAGCUGGAAAGGCUAACCUUAAAUGACAAUAUACUUUGUGGAAAAAUCCCAGUAUCCCUGGGUAACAUCACCAAAAUGUAUUGGCUUCAUUUAGCAGGAAACAAAUUAGAAGGAAAUAUAACCCCAAGUCUUGGAAGCUGCAAAAAUCUUCGUUUCCUGGAUGUAUCAAGAAAUAAGCUCACGGGCAUCAUACCCAAACAAAUCCUUGGACUUUCUUCUCUAUCAGAAACUCUUAACUUAUCACAGAACUCAUUUACAGGUCCCUUACCGUUAGAAGUUGGCAACUUGAAAAGUAUCAAUGCAUUAGAUGUCUCAGAGAACAAACUCUAUGGGGAAAUUCCUAGGACAAUUGGUGAUUGUUCUAGGCUAGAAAUCCUUAACAUGCAGGGUAACUUCCUGCAAGGAGCCAUUCCCUCAUCUUUUAAUUCUUUGAGAGGUCUCCAACGAAUAGAUCUGUCCAGAAACAACUUGUCAGGAAAUAUUCCUAAUGAGUUAGAGAAGCUUAUCUUCUUGCGAUAUUUAAAUCUUUCAAACAAUAAUUUUGAGGGUGAGGUACCAAAAAUGGGAGUUUUCAGCAACGCAAGUGCAUUUUCACUCGUUGGAAAUAGGAAUCUUUGCGGAGGUAUCCCUGAGUUGCAGCUGCCAGCAUGCCUCGUCAAGGAAGAAAAACACAGAAGGCCUUCCAUUGUCAUAAUCCUCACCACAACCAUCAGUUCAUUUCUGUUUGUCGCGAUAUUGACGUCCUUGUGUGUUUACUAUAGACGGAAGUCGAAAAAAAGUACCAUUUUUUCAACUUUUUCAGUGGAUAAGCUUCCUCAAAUUUCAUUCAAGGAACUCUUGCAAGCAACUGGCGGAUUCUCUUCAGAAAACUUAAUUGGACAAGGAAGUUUUGGCUCAGUAUAUAAAGGAAGUCUUGAUCACCAGGGGAAAUGUUUUGUCGCGGUAAAGGUACUCAACCUUCAGCAACAUGGAGCUUCCAAGAGUUUCAUUGCCGAGUGCAAAGCAUUGAAAAACAUCCGGCACAGGAAUCUUGUUAAAAUCUUGACGUACUGCUCCAGCAUUGAUUUUAAAGGCAAUGAUUUCAAAGCUCUAGUGUUUACAUUCAUGGAAAAUGGUAGUUUGGAAAUGUGGUUGCAUCCAGAGGAAAAUGGUUAUAGUCAGACAAGGAAAUUAAACUUUCUUCAAAGACUAUGCAUUGCCAUUGAUGUGGCUUCUGCAUUGCAUUAUCUUCAUGACCACUGUGAUACGCAAAUCGUUCAUUGUGACUUGAAGCCAAGCAAUAUUCUUCUUGAU
rnacentral:misc_RNA from 1 species